rnacentral:tRNA from 1 species
AGUGGCUUAGAUUGUAAAGAAUCUGCCUGUGAUGCAGGAGACCCAGGUUCCAUCCCUGGCU